AUUGAACGCUGGCGGCAUGCCUUACACAUGCAAGUCGAACGGUAACAGGUCUUCGGACGCUGACGAGUGGCGAACGGGUGAGUAAUACAUCGGAACGUGCCCAGUCGUGGGGGAUAACUACUCGAAAGAGUAGCUAAUACCGCAUACGAUCUGAGGAUGAAAGCGGGGGACCUUCGGGCCUCGCGCGAUUGGAGCGGCCGAUGGCAGAUUAGGUAGUUGGUGGGAUAAAAGCUUACCAAGCCGACGAUCUGUAGCUGGUCUGAGAGGACGACCAGCCACACUGGGACUGAGACACGGCCCAGACUCCUACGGGAGGCAGCAGUGGGGAAUUUUGGACAAUGGGCGAAAGCCUGAUCCAGCAAUGCCGCGUGCAGGAUGAAGGCCUUCGGGUUGUAAACUGCUUUUGUACGGAACGAAAAAGCUUCUCCUAAUACGAGAGGCCCAUGACGGUAC
rnacentral:rRNA from 1 species